GAUGAACGCUGGCGGCGUGCCUAAUACAUGCAAGUAGAACGCUGAAGGAGGAGCUUGCUCUUCUGGAUGAGUUGCGAACGGGUGAGUAACGCGUAGGUAACCUGCCUGGUAGCGGGGGAUAACUAUUGGAAACGAUAGCUAAUACCGCAUGACAACAGUUAUUGCAUGAUAACUGUUUAAAAGGGGCAACUGCUCCACUACCAGAUGGACCUGCGUUGUAUUAGCUAGUUGGUGAGGUAACGGCUCACCAAGGCGACGAUACAUAGCCGACCUGGGAGGGGGAUCGGCCAAACUGGGACUGAGACACGGCCCAGACUUCUACGGGAGGCAGCAGUAGGGAAUCUUCGGGAAUGGACGGAAGGCUGACCGAGCAACGCCGCGGGAGGGAAGAAGGGUUUCGGAUCGUAAAGAUUGGUUGUAAGAGAAGAACGAGUGGGGGAGUGGAAAGUGCACAUUGUGACGGUAUCUAACCAGAAAGGGACGGCUAACUACGUG
rnacentral:rRNA from 1 species